UCAUGGAGGUCAACCAGGAGUCAUGGUGGUCAAUCAGGAGUCAUGGUGGUCCACCAAGUGUGGUUGUGGUCAAUCAAGAGUUGUGGAGGUAAACCAAGAAUCAUGGUGGUCAACCAGAAGUCAUGGAGGUCAACCAAGAGUUAUGGUGGUCUACCAAGGAUGGUGGUCAACCAGAAGUCCUGGAGGUCAACCCAGAAUCAUGGGAAGAAGAUGCUGAGGCGCUCCUUGAAGCCAUGGAGAUGCCUCCAGUCAACUGGAAAGAGCCAAAAAAUCAUGGACAGGUCCUGGUGAAGGUCCUGGAGAUGUUCCUGGAAGUCCUGGAGAUACCUCCAGCCAAUCAAGAGUCAUGGAGGUCGACCAAGAGUGAUGGGAAGAUGUUGGGUGUGCUCCCAGAAGUUCCUGAGAUGCCUCCAGUCAACCAGAAGGUCCCAAAAAUCAUGGGAACGAAAUUUUGGGGUUCACCCAGAA
ensembl:lncRNA